UCGUGUAAAACGUGUGAUCACAUCACACUUGUAACUAUAAUUAGACAGGAUGAAUACGAUGUAGGAUUUUACAGGUUACUGAUUUGUUUGGGAGUUUUUGUUUUGCCUUGACAGUAGAUUCCUUCAAUGUAAUCAAUGUGAAUUAAUCACAGUUCUUGAUGGAUCAAGACAAGUUAUAUGUAGGUCUAAUUUCAGCAGCCUUGAAAUAGUGAAGAUAAUAAAAACAACUAUGUGUAAUUAUAGGUUAUGAGCAACUAAAUAAUUUGUGCUAUUGACCAAUGGGCAAAAGUGCUGGAUGUGUUUGACGGGAUAGGGCACGGCUGGGGCAGAAAUGAACUGAAAUGCGCGGUGAUCUUUAGAUUCUUAACAUCUUCCCCUCAAAAAAAAAAAAGCGCGGAUGAGAAGUGAACGCGAGUAGAAGCGGAGGCUCGCGCGCUCACGGUUCCCUCUCUCGCCUCUUUGUGAUGUCACGGCUGGCCGCGCGGCUGUAAUUGCGCCGGUGGGGUUGAUGGCGUCAUUCCGUGGCCCCGUGUAGCCUCCCGUGCUCGCUAGCAGAACGAGCGAGGAUCUGAGGCCGACGCGCGCGGCUCCGGCGCCCGGAAACGAGCAGCGCCACGCCGGACACUUCUCCCAGGAAACAUGGAGGCCGCCGCCGAGGAGCUGCGGGCCGGCUCCCGGAUUCCGGUCACCAUCGAACAGAUACUGAAUGACACACUGGUGGUGACGCUCACCUACCGGGAAAGGAGCUACACCGGGAUUUUGCUGGACUGCAACAAAAAGACUGGGUUGUUCUGCCUGCCAGAUGUCGUAGGAAAGUCAGAAGAGUCUCUUAUUUCCAGACAGGAAUCUGACGUGCAGAACGAGGAGCCAUGCUCCAAGCCUCCAUUUCAGUCAGCCCCACGACCAAAGGAUGAGAACACUGAGCCUGACAAGCCACCUGUCGUCCCCUUACCCAUACCAGUACAGCCAGGCCAGCCUACCUACCCUCCCUACUUUGAGGGCGCUCCUUUUCCUCAGCCCAUGUGGGUACGUCAUACCUACAGUCAGUGGGUUCCUCAGCCUCCACCCCGACCAAUCAAAAGAAAGAAGAGGCGGUCUCGAGAGCCUGGCCGCAUGACCAUAAGCACGAUUAGACUAAGGCCUAGACAGGUGCUUUGCGAAAAGUGCAAGAACACAGUCACCAGUGACGAGGACAGUAAAGAUGGGUCAGCUGUGGCCAAGCCUUCCAGGAAGGAGAAUGCACCACAAGGGGAGGAGCAUACCAAAGAUGCCCCAACAAAAGGACUCAGGAAGGAAGACGGAGAUGCCACAAGAGAAUCCAAGAGGCGAGAUGAGGCUCCAUGCUAUGAAAGCAAGCGUUGUCGAAAAGAUAGAAAGGAGGAUGAGAAGUUUCCAGGAGGUGAUGUAGUGCCUCACAGCCCAGUAAUAAAGAUCUCCUAUAGUACUCCACAAGGGAAAGGGGAAGUAAUGAAAAUCCCAUCCAGAGUUCAUGGUUCUGUGAAGCCCUUCUGCCCCAAGCAACUGAUGCAGAAUGGGCUUGGGGAGCACGACAACAGCCGUGAGCCCAGAAAAGACACACGAUCUGCUAUUGAGUCCAUCCGGACUGGCCUUACUGUAUCUAUCCCCAAACUCAAACUCCCAAAACUGACAGAUCAGGACAUCCCAUCACCCAAAAUCCGCUUAAAGUCCCGUGGGGAUGGUAUGGAGCGUGUGUCUGUAUAUGAGGCAGAACUGGUGGGGGAGGCAAGGCGCAGGAGUCCCAGGGUUCCUGGUUCAGGGCUGACUCGACCCGAGGACUCUGGGGACAAAAAUGCCCUGGAACUGUGGUCAGGUGAGGAAACGGAGCGACACGGUGACCUCACACUCCUUAUCAACUUUGGCAAACGCAAGGCAGACUCGUCUAGCCUUUCAGUGUGUAGCAGCGAUAGCCUGGAUGAGUCCAAGUCCUUCAGCUCGGAUGGGACAUCACCAGAGUUGUGUGAGCUGGCACCUGGCGAGCAUGUUAUUGGUGUAUCGUCGUCGGUCUCGACGACAUCGUCGGCAUCACGGGGUGAGGGUAGGACUGUGCCACCACUGACUGUGAGAUUACACACGCGAAGCAUGAGCAAGUGCAUAACCGAGGAGGGCCACGCUGUAACCGUUGGGGAUGUAGUAUGGGGAAAGAUACAUGGCUUCCCCUGGUGGCCAGCCAGGAUCCUGAGCAUUAGCGGCACACGGAGAGAAGAGGAUGAGGCAGAUGCAUCAUGGCCUGAAGCAAAGGUGGCCUGGUUCGGCUCGCCCACCACCUCACAGCUUUCUGUGGCUAAACUUUCACCCUUUCGAGAAUUCUUCCGACUGCGAUUCAACCGCAAGAAAAAGGGCAUGUACCGGCGCGCAAUCAUCGAGGCAGCUAGAGCGGUGGGUCACAUGAGCUCCGAGAUCACUUCUCUGCUCUCACACUGCGAGACAUAGUUCUCUGAGCAACAUCUUCGUAGUCCUCACCUGAGACCUCUCAGGCAAAUGACUGUUGCACGAUGAUGUAAUGUGCCUCGCCGUGUAGCAGCAAAGUAGUGAAAGAGGGGAAGGCUGGACUCUGGCUGGAUUCAGGACCCUGUGCUCCCCUCCCGUCAUUCCCAAUCUGGACGGAGUGCAUUUACUACCGAUCUCAUGAGUGAUGGUGCUUUUUAUUUUUCGCCUGCACUGAAGGAGAAAUCAGUCACCAUGCAAAGCAGUCGAGGGCUUGAGGGAGCAGGCAGGAACAUCUGGGAAAUACAAGAGAAGAACUCUUACUCUCCACCUGUUUUUCUACCCUAUCCAUUUGUUCAGGACUUCUGUUUUUAGUAUAAAUGCGUAGCUCAACACUAAAUCCGAAUGUAUUUAUUGCCGAUUGAAGCACAGACUACCUUGCUACAGUCUCAUACGAUCGAUCCCACCGCUGCUGUUUGUUUGUUUGUUUUGUUUUGUUUGUUUUUUUUUUUUUGUCAGUGAGGAGCUCCUGUCUGUCAGGAGAAUUACAAUAGCUAAUGAAUUCAUCAUGGAUGCCAUAGCCAGCCUGCUCUAGUGACAUUCACCUAGUCCACUAUAGCAGGAAAAGAUGGACAUCUAUACGAUGGUAAAUAACUUGGCCUACUCUAAGGUCUCUUCUUUUUUUUUUUUCUUUAAAAACAGAAAAUGUGAAACACUUUCAUUUGUAUCCUCUGCAUCUAGCGAUAAUUGUGUAGGUCUUAAAAACAUGCAGUAUGUCGUCAUUGAUGGAUAUAUUUUCACCAGAGGGCCGAAGUUCUUUAAAUGGCCUGUCCCUUUGAGGAGAUGUAACUUGUUUUUCCAUUUUUUUCCCCCCUAGUUUAUUUUUCAUUUUUACGAUGUUAUUUUGAUGCUCUUGGUCUGAGGGCUUUGGGAACGGUGUCAUGAUUCUUCUGAGAAUCACAGAGUUUCAUAUGUACUUGCUUUAAUUAUUUAAUGUGUCAUGUAAAGAAAAGCACUUUAUCUGUACCUUCAGUGGCCUGCUGGACACUCGUACAACGAACACUAAUUUAGAGUUUUACAGCUGUGAACGGUGGACAAGCUCUCAGCAGCCCUCUGGUUCUGACUAUCACACCCGGCGCCUGGAAAGUGACUUCUUUUCUAUCAGGUUUGGACACGGACGAGAGAAAACAAGACGCUUUCAGGAACUAGUUGUGUACACUGUAUUAUUGUGGUUAGUCUUUUUUUUUUUUUUUUUUUUUUUUGGCAACCUGCGUUUGUUUUUCCUUCCCACCACCGUCUCCCACUAAAUGAAAAUUUCCACUGGAGAAAUGGACAGAAGUGUAAACUCCUAUGCAUCACAUCUUUAUUAAAGCUUUAAAAAAAAAAAACGAAUACCUGCUGUUAUGGUACUACGAUUUCCAUACCUGUGUGCCCCGAGCACUAAGCAAAAUUGAGAUUCUUUCAUGCUGCAGGUUCGACUUUUCUAUCUCCUUCAGGUGGAAGAGAAAAAGGUCUUUCUGGUCCACGAUUGAUCUUUUAGGGCCCUGAGAAUUUAAAGAGCCACUUUAGUCAGGGAGCAGGCAUGGAAACCAGGGAGGAAAUGAUGUGGGGGAAGGGAGCCAAACCCGAGCGGAGGUGUAUUUUAAGCUCACUGCAAAGCGCCUCACCACUGCAUUUCAAUAGUAGGUUCUUGUACUUUUUAAGGAUCACAUUUUUUUUCCCCCCUCCUUCCUGAAAUGAAUUUAAAGGAGGACAGUUGUGCGUGUGCCAGUGCAAAGACACUCGACCGCUGUCCUCAGAUCAGUGGAAUUUUUUUACAUGGUGUACAUAAAAUAAAAUCUACAAACAAUG